CUAGUCACCGCGGUUCCCACCGCAGCGCCCUGGGGCCCACGGCUGGGCCCGCGUGAGCCCACAGCGCCCCCUGGAGGGAGGGUCCGACGCCGCUGCUGAACCCCCGCCUUCCUGAGGUCGGACGCGACCCGGGACCCUCCCGGGCGCCCCAGCCUUCCCCCACAACCCCACAAAGAGGGUUCUGCGCUCCCCUUUGCACACGGAAGGAAACUGAGGCUCAGAAAAGCCAGGCGACUUGACCAAGCCCGACAGCAGAGCUCCUUCUGGAAGACACUAGCUGUGGGCUUAGCCCUGGAUCCACACCCACCCGAAGACAGGACAGUCAGCACCAUGUUGAGAAGAUGGCCCUCUGCAGCCUGGGAGCGGGUCUUCCCCGAACCUGACCGUGCCUGCACCUGAUCUCAGAUCUCCAGCCUCCAGAACCAUGAGAAAUAAACAUCUGAUGUCUCUAUUGCCACUGAGUCUAUGGUCGGCCUGGGCUGAACUGGGCCAAACAGGAACCAGGAGGCAGAUGUCUAUGGCAAGAGUGUACCCAGCCCCAGAGGAGGCAGUCUGCUCAUCCUUCACCAAAACUCCCCUCAGAUCUGCUCAAGGAAGGGGAAAUGAGCAGGAGCAGGGGAUCUUCUGAGAUGAAAUGGGGGGAAGAAAACCCUGCAUCCUGGGUGGGAGCAGCACCCUCCCACUGGAUCCUCAGGAAACCUCUCUUUCCAGGGGGCAGGGGAGAGGUGCAGCCAUCGGUUGUUUAGAGAGAAACCGUGUGUGCUGAAGAAAAGGUAACAGCCCGGCCAACACACCAUUAACUGGCUUCAACUCUCCCCAGGGUUGCAGCCUCCUGGGGGACGCUUCACUGAGGGCAGAGCCCAGCCUGUUGAGCAGCACAGAACAGGUCUUUUAAUAGUUCAUCUGUAGGAAGUGCAUUUGCAAAGUCACCAACCUGCAGCUUCCAUCUGUAGACCAGGAAGGGUGAUUCUCUGGGUGACCACAGCGGAGCAUCCCCUGAGGUACAGACGCCCCCCACCCCCGCAGUGUCCUCACAGCCACCACAGCCUUUGCAGUUUGGCUCAAGCAAGCCCUGCCAGGCCCCACCCCUCACGCUGGCUCUGCUGUGAAGCCAUCCUCCCGUUGGGCAGCAAGCUCAGGCCCUACACAGAGCCAUCUUGAGGCUUGUAAAUGAAGCAGGCGUCCCCAGAGCAGGACUCUGCUGUGGCCACCGGCUUCUCCUUCCACACAGCUUCCCCCGCAACACAGCACGGCCGCUGACCUCUGGCUUCAAGCAAAGGAGAGGUUGUGAGGGGAGCCUUGGGAGGAUGUGGGGACCCCCAGAGAAUCUUCUCCCACCCAAACAGAGCAGUCAAGACCAGGAAAACGAGGCCUCCACUUUGUGAACAACAGAGCUGCCCAUGUGGUCACGCGGCACCUUCGUCCUGAGACACCUGCCCCACACUGGGAAGCAGGGCUCGGUUGACGGUCCACAGCAUGAUAGUUCAUUGCACCGCUGGAGGGAAUGGGCCAGGGCCUCUCGUUGGUCUCCUGAAGGGAAAUGGGGGUUGGGCCCAGAGUCAAGCUGCAGUCAGGGAUGAGGCCUGCAC
rnacentral:lncRNA from 1 species